ACCUGCGCCUCCGUUUCCUCUGUGCCACAGCGGGAACUCCAACAAACUAAUUGUACAAGGUUUGUAUCAAGUUCCAAAGCGCCUGUAAUUACUUUGGGAAACAGUUCCCGACCAGCCAGACUCACUCCAUGAGGCUCUCCAGCCAACUUCCUGGUCUUACUCCCUAAAGGAGAGAUUUGGGGGGUGGGUGCUUCACUCAGACAGGAACCCCUGGGAGGGGCCUCGGGUUCAGGGACCCCGCCCACUCUUCCCUCCCCUUGGGGCCCCAGCCGGUGGGGGCAGAGCGAGACCAGGAGAGGAGAAGGACAGGCAUCUCCCCGCUGCUCCCUCCGGGAGCUCAGGCUGUGCCCGAUCAGGGCGGAGGCCGCCCCGCAGGUUGCUCACCUACUGGGCUCAGCCUGUCACGCUCUGUUGCCUGUGGGCGCCCCCCCGGCCUGGUGUCUUCCUAAAGCCACACCGUGACUAGUCAGCAUUUGCAUGGCACGGAAGUCACAGCUUCCUAAUGAUACCAUCACACAGCUGGGACACGCGUGAUUGCUGUUUUGCGGGGCGGAGGCUGAGCGCCAUCGGCCACCCGUCACACUGCUCACGGCAGAAUUUCCCAUUCUGAUUCCCACCUCUUUCCGCUGUGCCCAAGACACCACAACUCUCCCCGUGGUGGAGAAUUCAGGUACACACCCAGGGUCCCGUUGGGACUGCCUGGGAGCUUUCAGCCAAACCGGGCCAGUUAUAUCAAUCACAGCAGCUGGUGCCCAGGGAAGCCUGGCUCCUGGGACUGAGGAGCACGAGGUCCUGCCUCCUGAUUUCAUUGGGAGAAGACCAGUCCCAGGGGCCUUGUGACCAAGGCAGUGGCUGAGCUGAGCCCACAGCCAGGGCAGCACCGGCCGAAAUGAGGUGGGCUCACCUGGGAGGCCGAGGCCACGCACACUUGAACCUGCACGGACACGGCUUCCUCCUGCAGCUGGGCUCUCUGGGCACCGCUAGACCCCAGGUGGUGGGGAACAGUGGGCAAAUAUUCCAGAGUUUUGCAGCCAGCUGUGACAGCGCUGGUAGCUGGGGGAGAGGUUGGGGUGUUUCUAAGAGGCAGCUGGCAGCUGGCACCACGGCUGGGGCGGGUAAGCUCCGGGGUCUCUGUUUCCCGCUCUUAGCUCAGGACACCCCGACUAUUUAGUCUGGUUCCUCGCUGGUGCUGUCCUAAUGUCCUACCUGCUGAAGAGCUGUUCCGUCCAGAACAAUCCCCAGCACACACUGGCCAAGGCGCCUUCUCUAGAUAACAGCCCGCUGCUUGGGGCUCACGAGUGGUCAGUGCCUUCUCCUUUUGAAUGACUGUUGAGGGACUGCUUCCCAUGGGAGGGGGUCUGAAAGCGGGCCCGGGGUCAGCCAGCUGCCCCGCUCACAGCCUCUGCCCGCGGAAGCCCCCGGAGCUGGCUUGUUCGCUCAAGAAAUGGUCCUUAGCUCCUGACACAUCCCUUCUGUGGUUUGAGUCGCAGCAGCUCCUUUAGACAAAGGGAGUUUCCAUCCGUUCGUUGCAAACAUUUCUAACGGCCUCUAUUUUUAACACUGAGAUUUCUCAGCUGAGCUGCGCGGCGUUGUCUCAGAGGCCCGCGGUCCAGAGGUUUCGGCGGCUGUUGUCCCGCAGCGCGCUGGGCGCUGCCGCGUACAGGCGCGGGUCCGGCUCACUCAGCCCUCCGGCGCUCCCUUGCCACCCCCACCCCACCCCCCAGGAGGGGUCGAGGUCCCUGAGGGCCAGGGAGGGGAAGGAAGUGUCCCAGGCCUCAGUGAGCCGCACAGAAGUCAGAUAAACAAGGCGGCUCAGGGAGAUUAGGGCCUGGAGGAGAAUUAAAGGGUGACCUGGCCGAGGGGACCGUGUCCUCGCACUCAACUGAGGUUUCUAAGGAGGUGCCUGUGUCCAAACCUGCGUCCCCUCCACGGGCCUCACUCCCCUGGGCACCGGGACACCCGCCCCCACGGAGGAGCAGGGACUCCGUCAGCCAUCAGUUGUCCUUCAAAGGGGCCACCGGGCAGCACCAGGAGAAUGGGGUGGCUUGAGGUGGGGGAGGGUCCUCACCCACCCCUCCCCCAAGAUGAGGGUGGCCAGCUUGUCCCGAGGUUGGCACGUGUCCUUUGAGGAAUCUGCUGCAGGUUCGUUGAUGGGGCGUCCGUUCACCGAUGGGGCCAACGGUCCCCUUCCCCCUGUGUCCCCAGGUCCUGUCCAGUCAUUUUGCCCAAAUCCUCAGCCCGCUGCCCAAGGAGGGCUCUUCCUGCCCCGGGUCCUGGGUCAUCCAGGCACCAGGCUGGGCACAGGGUGGUUCUGGAUGGUCAUCCCUGGUGGGGAGGCCGCCCCCACCACAACCUCCAGAUGCCUUGGGUGUUCUGGCUUGACGGGCGUGGGAGGGCUGGCGCUCGGGUCCUGAGGGCACUGCCAGGGCAGGCCAGCCCUCUCCUGACACCUGCCAGCUGCUGGAAAGCUCUGACAUGGCAGGUUCUGAGCACUGGGAGGGCCUGCCCGCCGAGGGGGCUGGGCUUAACUGCAGUGGCCGUGGGCAGGGGGUCAGGGCGGCUCUGAGUCCAUGGUCUGCUUUCCCCUGGGGGGUCGAGGGAGCAGUGAGGGGACCUCUGAGCCUCUCCCAGGCUGGGCAGGAGCCUGGGGGCCCUUCUUCCAGAAUCUGCUCAAAGAUGAUGGCUCCUGAAAGGAUCCGACACAACGGUGCGCCUGUGAUUCGGCCACGGGAAGCCUGGAAAGAUCUGUCGGUGCUGCGGCUUUGAGAGGUCCCGGGGCUGGAGUCCUACCUGUGGUCCUGACCUCCACGGGGUCCUGCUGUCCCCGGGGCCCGUGUCUGCAGUCUCGACCCCUUGGGGCCCUGCUCUAUGGUGAUGAAACAAGCUAGACUUUUAUCCUCUGACCUGGAGGCACGCGAAAAAAAGCAAGAUUUAGAAAAGCCCAAGAGAGUCCCUUAGGCCCAGCCCUGCCUGGGGGCCCAGGAGGAUUUGCACCUGUAUGAGCAAGUGGGCCGGGAGGGACGUGCAGGUGAAGCCCUGUGAGGGCGACACAGCCCAGGUCAACCUCCAAGGUCAGUCUCCAAGGUCAACCUCUAAGGUCAGUCUCCAAGGCUGGGCCUCAUCCCCACCUCCUGGUCCGCUUCCCUCCCCCUCUGGCAGCGCGGCAGUGUUAGGGCCCGUCCCACACCUGAGGGCUUGUGCCCACCAUCCCUGCACCUGCCCCCCGCAGGGGCUCAGGCCGUCCCCCGCCCCAAGGGGGCCCUGUUCUCACCCCCCUGGACUUCCCUUAAGGGCUGCCUCCUCCAUGCGGCCUCUCCUCCCCUCCUGUGCCCCCGUUGCCCAUCGUCCAUCUCCGAGCCCCGUCUCCCUGCAGCGGCACCAGAGGUUCUGACGUGAGAGGAGCCCACCAACCCAGGAGGCAGAGCGACAAUUGGGGUCCCGUGGUCACCCAGGCCUGGCGCCCUCUCGGGGCCCUGAGAGAGCCGGGCUGUGCCCUGUGACGUGGGCGCUGACACCCCCGCUCUCUGGGGUCUGCUUGGAGGCUGUGCUUCCCGGGAGGGAGGAUGGGAGGGCCCAGCGGGGCUUCGAGCGGCAUCUUCAGGGGAAGAAGGGACGCCGGGGGCAGAUGUGGACGGCGGCCACUGUGCGGGGCCUGCGAGGAGAGAAAAGCAGGGGAUGCGCUGCCGAGGCCCGUCACAGACGUGCUGGUCACUUCACACACUGGACAGUGGACGCAAGACAAAUCCAACGCAGACCUUGUCCAGAGCAGGGCCCUGCCCUCAGCACCGGGGACACUUGGGGCCAUGUCACUGUCCUGGCCCUGCCCGCGGGCGCCGUCCAUCCGGAUGUUAGCUGUUGGAGACUGGCAGUGACCUUCAGCAGACCAGCAGCAGCCUCCGUCCAAGGCGUGCCUGGCUGCAGGGGAGCCCGAGGGAGCUUAGCGGGGAAACGAAGAGCGCCUGCCAUCUAGCUACCAGCGGACAGCAGCCACUCCCACCAGGGAGCCCUGAGGAGACGCAGGCGGAGAAGCAAGAGGACCCCGGCCCGGGCCGCUGGCGGGCACCCCGGAGGAGUGACCUCAGGGGGCCCAGGCCUUCACGUCCUCCCAAAGAAAAGCGCUGGAGUCCUCAACUUGAGACGUCUGGUUGUCUGUAAUAUUUUGCUCCUAUGACCUGCCCUUUUUUUGCAAAAAGUCCCUGUAUAUCCCGGCCCCCCCCCUCUCGCCUCCUCGGAGUGGUUUUCUCAGGGUUACCUGAGAUGCCACCUCCCAGGCUUAAUUCCUCAUUUUGCCCCAAAUAAAACUCAAGUCUCA